rnacentral:snRNA from 1 species
GUGCUCACGUUGGGAGCACACAUACUAAAACUGGAAUAAUACAGAGGAGACUAGCAUAAGGAUGACACGCAAAUUUGUAAAGUGUUCCAUAUUAAA